rnacentral:rRNA from 1 species
UGACCGCUGGCGGCGUGCCUCAUACAUGCACGUCGAGCGAACGGACGAGAAGCUUGCUUCUCUGAUGUUAGCGGCGGACGGGUGAGUAACACGUGGAUAACCUACCUAUAAGACUGGGAUAACUUCAGGAAACCGGAGCUAAUACCGGAUAAUAUUUUGAACCGCAUGGUUCAAAAGUGAAAGACGGUCUUGCUGUCACUUAUAGAUGGAUCCGCGCUGCAUUAGCUAGUUGGUAAGGUAACGGCUUACCAAGGCAACGAUGCAUAGCCGACCUGAGAGGGUGAUCGGCCACACUGGAACUGAGACACGGUCCAGACUCCUACGGGAGGCAGCAGUAGGGAAUCUUCCGCAAUGGGCGAAAGCCUGACGGAGCAACGCCGCGUGAGUGAUGAAGGUCUUCGGAUCGUAAAACUCUGUUAUUAGGGAAGAACAUAUGUGUAAGUAACUGUGCACAUCUUGACGGUACCUAAUCAGAAAGCCACGGCUAACUACGUG